AUGAAUGAAAGGAGUGGACGUUUUAAGGCUCACUGAUCGGUUAUCGGGCUUAGGCAGUGACAAUCGACACACAAUGCCGAGGAUAUUAGUACGGGCGAGUUAAUUUAAGAAGCACUUGCCGAUCGGUUUUAGACAUAAGAAAAUAACGAGGAAAUAGCCCCAGUCACAUGAUGAUCGCGGCAGCCAACUGUGCUAGCGCUCGAUGACGUGUGCGUCAGAAUUUAAAUAUAAAAUGUUAGAAAAAAUAACAAUAUGCGUGUUUGAAUUGAAAGAGAAAAAAAAGCAUUUUACAUCGCAGCAGUGACAUAAUUCUUAUCAAUGAUGCGUUACGUCGCUAAUUAGACAGUCUAAAUUCCGUCCGGACGGACCGGUGAUUAGUAUUUAAUUUACAGUUAACUUGUGAAUCUUAACAUCAAAGUGGCAGUUACUUUGGGAUUUCGAACUCAAUUUAAUAUUUGAAUUACAGCUAUAACAACAUAAUUUGUGUGAGACGGAUUGAUGAGAUGCAAACUGCAGUAUAAUGUUAACAUUAAACAUAUUAUAUAAUAUGAGUAAAA